GGCUGGUCUGAAGGUAGUGAGUUAUCUCAAUUGAUUGUUCAGACAGUUACAGAUACAAGUCCUUAUUUUACACUUCCCCCUGCUCACUACUGCACUUGGCUAGUCUUUA
rnacentral:Y_RNA from 1 species